AUAAAUCUUUAGGAAUAUAUAUACUAUAUGAUAAUCUGCACCUUGCGUGAAGUGAAUUUUAAAAAUAUGUUAUAAACAAUACACUAGAUCAUGACCCGCGCUUUGCAAGCGCGGAUUAUUUUAUGAUGAAAAUUUUCACUAAUAAUUAAUAAAUAUUUUGUUAAUUUGUAAGAAUUUUGUUUAUUUGAAUUUUCUUUGCAUUUAAAUCAAUACUUUUAAAUUUGACCCGAAUCCGCGGUCAAAUCGGUUAAUCCGGUGAUUCGAUAAUUCAAUUUAGGUUUUAAAAAUAUCCAUAUUUAUAAAAAUCACUAUAUCCGAGGCUAACCAAUUGAACCGAUGGAUACCCGAUAUGUUAACAUAUCAAAUUUGAUUUAAAUUGCUAUAGUUUCAUAAUUUGUCACCUUAUAAUCCAAAUUUUAAAGUUUAUUGUCUUACAAUUUUAUUAAAUUAUGACAUUUCUACAAAAUUUUGAUAGAGAAAAAAAAAGAUAUAAUUAACAACUAUAAAUGUCUUGAUCAUAUUACUCCAUUUUAUAUAACUUAAUUAAUUUUAUUAUAUUUGUUUUGUGUAAUUUUUCUUGUUAAUCAUUUAUAUUAUAAUCGCUUUAAAUUUUUUUGUUAACAAUUAGUACUAAGCAUUUUUCUUUAGAUAACAUAUAUUUUGAACAUUUUUUUCAUAAUUAUUUUUGUUAUUAUAGUUAUUGUACACUGUAUAAUGUUUCUAUAUUUAUUUUUUAUGUAAUGGCUAUUAUUGAAUUGUUAUCUUACUUAAAUAAAUGAUAGAACCAUUAUGUAGUAAAUAUAAAUAAAAUAAUAUGUUAAUUUAAUUUAUUUAUCAUUGAUUGAAAUGUUUUUGUAGUAUUUAAACCUGUAAAAUUAAGUUUUAUUUAUUUUCGUUUUUUAUAAAUUUUUUGAAUAUUUUUUUUAAUAUCUGGGUAUUAAAAAGAUAAGUUCCAAUAUUUUAUAUUGUUUGGACAUAAGAUUAAUUAUAGUGUUGUUUGGGAAAAUGGAUAGUAGUAUAAAGAAAUGACUAUAUUGUUUGGCGGCCGCGGGCAGACAGGCCGCGAGGAGUUAGAGAGGCGCGCGGUCGCUGCAAAAACUAAGGCGCGAGCCCGGGCGGACGGCCAAGGAGAUCGGGAGAGCCAACAAAGGAAACUGAAGCGAAGAGGGAAAAAGUUCAUUGGGAACGGCACGCACAGGGGAUCGAAAGAGGCGGGGAAACCCGUCCGAUAGCGCUUAUGCGCGAAUUUCGAAAGGGGAUCCGGUGAAAAUUCUGGAACCGGGAUGUGGCGGGUGACGGCAACGUUUGGGAGUCCGGAGACGUCGGCGGGAAUGCCGGAAAGAUUUAUCUUUUCAGUUUAACAGCCUGCCCACACUGGAAAAGGCUCAGCCGGAGUUAGGGUAGGAGAGCAAAAACGCGCGGGGUGGGCCGGCUUGCAUCAUUUGAAAAUCCGAGACGAGUGCCGCCAACCGGUCGGACCACGCUUAGGUCUACAAUGAACAGCUCUGGUCGAUGGAACAAUGACAAAAUGGAGCCGUAACUUCGGGAACAGGAUUGGCUCUGAGGUCUGGUCUCGGGGGUCCCAGUUCCCAACCCGUCGACUGUUGGCGGGCUGCUUGAGUUGCUAACGUGGCGAGAGCGACCCAAACGACGGAAGCUCUUCGGGGCUUUCCCGGCGCGAACAGCCAACUCAGAACUGGUACGGCAAAGGGGAAUCCGACUGUUUAGUUAAAACAAAGCAUUGCGGUUGGCCCUGCGGAUGCUAACGCAAUGUUAUUUCUGCCCAGUGCUCUGAAAGUCAAAGUGAAGAAAUUCAAGCAAGCGCGGGAAAACGGCGGGAGAAACUAAGACUCUCUUAAGGGAGCCAAAAGCCUCGUCAUCUAAUUAGAGACGCGCAUGAAUGGAUUAAACAGAUUCCCACUGUCCCUGUCUACUAUCCACCGAAACCACAGCCAAGGGAACGGCUUGGCAGAAUCAGCGGGAAAGAAGACCCUGUUAAGCUUGACUCUAGUCCGAAUUUGUGAAAUGAAUUGAGAGGUGUAGAAUAAAUGGGAGCUCCGGCGCAAGAGAAAUAACACUACUUUUAACUGAUUACUUACCCGUGAUCGAGGCGGGGUAACACAAAUCUUUGACCAAAGACCGCUCGACGGGUCAUCCGGGCGAGCAUUGUCAGUGGGAGUGGCUGGGGCGGACAUUCUAAAAAUAGAGGUGUCACUAAAUGUACAAACAGAAAUAUCGUGUGGAUCAAAAGGGUAAAAGCUCUUUUUAUUCUGAUUUUCAGUACGGAUACGAACCGUGAAAGCGGGGCCUAUCGAUCCUUUAGACCUUCGGAUUUUGAAGCUAGAGGUGUCAAAAAAGUUACCACAGGAAUAACUGGCUUGUGUCAGCCAAGCUUUCAUAGCGACUUUGCUUUUUUAUCCUUCGAUUUCGGCUCUUCCUACCAUUAUGAAGCAUAAUUCACCAAUUGUUGGAUUGUUCACCCACCAAUAGGGAACUUGAGCUGUGUUUAGACCGUCGUGAGAUAGGUUUGUUUUACCCUACUGAUGCGCGCGGCGCAAUAGUAAUUCAACCUAGUUCGAGAGGAACCGUUGAUUUGAACAAUUGGUCAUCUCGCUUGUUUGAAAAGCCAGUGGCGUGAUGCUACCGUGCGCUGGAUUUUGACUGAACGCCUCUAAGUCAGAAUCCGGGUUAGAAGCGACGCAUGCGCUCGCCGCCCGAUUGCCGACUCUCAGUAGGAGCUUCGGCACCCAAAGGCACGUGUCGUUGGUAAGUCCGUUCGGCGGAAGCACAGUUCGGACCGCCUUGAAUAAUAAUACCACCGGUGGGCGGGUAGAAUCCUUGGCAGACGACUUAAAUACGCGACGGGUUAUUGUAAGUGGCAGAGUGGUCUUGCUGCCACGAUCCACUGAGAUUCAACCCUUUGUCGCUAAGAUUAGACCCUCCCCC
rnacentral:rRNA from 1 species